UCUUCAUUUUUAUUGGACCAGUGGUCAGUAGUGGGAUUUACCCAAUUUCUGUGGCACAUACCCGUUUAUGAUGGUAGUUUUUUGGUUCAUCGGACAAGGAACGAUUUGCUAAACAGCUUCGCUGUUAAUAUAAUGAUUGUUAGGUUUUUACGUCCCAAAACCCCUAUAUGACUACUAGGGGUGCCGUAGUGGAGGACACCGGAAAUUUUUACCACUUCGUAAUGUGCACCUAAAUCUCAGUACACAGCCCUCUAGCAUUUUGCCUCUGUCGACAAGCAAGUUAAAUCAGGUUUUGUGGUGCUAAAGCGGCUAAGGCUAUGCUGCACCAACCAUAAGGUGUUGGGAAAUAAGCAAUUACACAAUUCUAAAGCUUAUAUAAAAAGCCACUUUCCUUUAAAAACAUAGACAGGGAAAUAGGUGGAUCAUACUAGGGUGGAGAGGUAUGUGUUGUUUGCAUAAUUUGCCAAAAAAUUUUUGUUUUGCACUGCAAUAUAGGCUCAUAUUAGAAUACGCACAACUAUGCUUGUGACAUUUACUGAGAUCGAACUCCGCACUUCAAUCAGUGCCAUUUAGUGCAUUCAAUAUGACGCAUAUCUUGAAAGCACGAUGCACAAGGUUUCAUUGGGUGCUCGCCCUUGCAUCCACUAUCUGCUUGCAUGGCUGGUGAUGCCCGCUUCAGCUGCUUGAUUGAGGUCACUUCUGGCUCACCUGAGUGCAACCAUUCUGUAUAGCACUGCUUGACUGUGUCCUUGAAUGGCUUUUUGAUGCAGACAUCUAGAGGCUGCAGCUGAGACGUCAU